AUUGAACGCUGGCGGCAUGCCUUACACAUGCAAGUCGAACGGUAACAGGUCUUCGGAUGCUGACGAGUGGCGAACGGGUGAGUAAUACAUCGGAACGUGCCUAGUAGUGGGGGAUAACUACUCGAAAGAGUGGCUAAUACCGCAUGAGAUCUACGGAUGAAAGCAGGGGAUCGCAAGACCUUGUGCUACUAGAGCGGCCGAUGGCAGAUUAGGUAGUUGGUGGGAUAAAAGCGUACCAAGCCGACGAACUGUAGCUGGUCUGAGAGGACGAGCAGCCACACUGGGACUGGGACACGGCCCAGACUCCUACGAGAGGGAGCAGUGGGGAAUUUUGGACGAGGGGCGAAGGGCUGAUCGAGCAAUGCCGCGUGCAGGAUGGAGGCCUUCGGGUUGUAAACUGCUUUUAUACGGAACGAAAAGCCCCGGGUUAAUACCCUGGGGUCAUGACGGUACCGUAAGAAUAAGCACCGGCUAACUACGUGCCAGCCGCCGCCGUAA
rnacentral:rRNA from 1 species